UAGCUCAGUGGUAGAGUGCAUGCUUAGCGUGCAUAAGGUCCUGGGUUCAAUCCCCAG
rnacentral:tRNA from 1 species